GAGAGGGAGCUUGCUUCCUCAAUCGAGUGGCGAACGGGUGAGUAACGCGUGAGGAACCUGCCUCAAAGAGGGGGACAACAGUUGGAAACGACUGCUAAUACCGCAUAAGCCCACAGGUCGGCAUCGACCAGAGGGAAAAGGAGCAAUCCGCUUUGAGAUGGCCUCGCGUCCGAUUAGCUAGUUGGUGAGGUAAUGGCCCACCAAGGCAACGAUCGGUAGCCGGACUGAGAGGUUGAACGGCCACAUUGGGACUGAGACACGGCCCAGACUCCUACGGGAGGCAGCAGUGGGGAAUAUUGCACAAUGGGGGAAACCCUGAUGCAGCGACGCCGCGUGGAGGAAGAAGGUCUUCGGAUUGUAAACUCCUGUUGUUGAGGAAGAUAAUGACGGUACUCAACAAGGAAGUGACGGCUAACUACGUGCCAGCAGCCGCGGUAAAACGUAGGUCACAAGCGUUGUCCGGAAUUACUGGGUGUAAAGGGAGCGCAGGCGGGAAGACAAGUUGGAAGUGAAAUCUAUGGGCUCAACCCAUAAACUGCUUUCAAAACUGUUUUUCUUGAGUAGUGCAGAGGUAGGCGGAAUUCCCGGUGUAGCGGUGGAAUGCGUAGAUAUCGGGAGG
rnacentral:rRNA from 1 species